ensembl:lncRNA
GUGACUAAGCUGUGAUAAGCUGCUGGCUCCCUGGGGAACCUGAUAGGGUCUGGCCCUUUUUCCCUUUGUGGAUUUCUCUGGCUUUUCCUGGCCCUCUCCCACAGUACCCAUAGGAUGAUUUCUUUCCUUUCUGCUUUUUAUUACCUUUGCUGAAAAGACAGAUUCAGUGAAAGCCUGUGUCUUGUUCUAUUACCCAAUUAUUAGCAUCCACCAUACUGAGGGCACUCCCCGUGAGAAGCAGCCGCCUAACAUGGGCCUGUCCCUGUCCCAGGGAACGUGCAGCCCCAGCUCUAACCAUCACAAUCUGCGGCAUGAAGGGGGCUGGAAUCUCUCCUCUGUAGCCAGUCUUUAGACGUUCUUUGGAAACAAUAAAUAUUGUGCAAAGAAAAGUGGAUAAAAAUUGCAUUUUAGGCAGGGUGUUGGAAGUGCCUCCCCCAGCCCAGACACUUCCCUGCCAGUUCAUUCCUUUUGGGCUAGUCAUUGCUUUCCCCUUCAGGCAAAUCCUCCUUGGAUGGGCACGUCCUGAGAGGGACUGAGGUCACUAGAAAGGCGCUGGCUGGACUCAGCACCUAUGGGCCUUGGUGUCAGAGAGACCAGAGUUUGAGUCUGACCCGGCACAUUCCGGCCAUGCACUCUCCGCCAGGUUUAGAUGAUCCCACACAGAUUUCUCUUCUAUAGUUAGUGACAGCAACAACCAACAUGCAGGAGUCAGUUCUCAACUGUGUUUGGAACGUUGGUCACCUUCUCCUUAUCUCAGGUCACACACUGUCUUGUUAGCAAGCCCUCAGGAGCCGGUAGUGUUGUGCCAGAGACUGCUAGUUAUCUCAGGGGCGCAGCCUUUUGCUUUGACUAUUUUCCAUUGAUGGGACAUUUGACAUCUCUGCCAGCGUUCAUAUUAACUUGAAGAAAAUGGACAGUGAUGCAACUGACUCUAUCUGGUGUCAAUACAGUUGAAUUUGUCUUGUCGAGAUGCUAAUAGCUUACUGAACAAUAGACAUCACCCAACAGGGACUGUUUUAUUGCACCGUAGGCCCCUGUGAUCUGGCAACAUCCUUCCAGCAUGCCUUCUGUCAGGGACUGUAGUCUUUCAUUCUUUUUCUACUUUUUGAACCAGCUCUGCCACCAUGCUGGCUUCCGUACUGAGUUCCAUAAACCAUUGACAGACGCUCCUGUUAUACAAGAGUCAUACUUUUAACUUGUAAAAAAUUCCACUUCAGCAAGGGCAUCAUUCUACCCCCACACCUUUUCAAUCUCUGCUGCCUCCCUCACCUUUUCUUUUCUCCACCCUCACAUCCUAGAAAAUCCAUCCAGUUGACCGGGAGGAGUAGCUCACACCUGUCAUACCAGCACUUUGGGAGGCCGAGGCGGGUGGAUCGCCUGAGGUCAGGAGUUUGAGACCAGCCUGGCCAACAUGGUAAAAACCUGUCUCUACUAAAAAUACACAAAAUUAGCCAGCUGUGGUGGUGGGCAUCUGUAAUCCCAGCUACUCGGGAGGCUGAGGCAGGAGAAUCACUUGAACCCAGGAGGCGGAGGUUGCAGUGAGCCAAGAUCGCACCAUUGUAGUCCAGCUUGGGGGACGGGAGCAAAACUCCCUCUCAAAAAAAAAAAAAAA